CCGUCAACUGAAUCCAAAAGCAGCUACUGAAGCAGAAAAAGUUUUAUUAUCUUCUCUGAAAGCACUGGAGGAUUUCUAGUUCAAUGGAGAUAAUGGAGGCUUUCUGUGUGAUAGCACCCAACCAUCGGUGGCUGAUCUCAGCAUGGUUUGUGAACUUAUGCAACUUGAGGUUUUGGAUGAGAGGGAUCGCAGUCGAAUAUUAUCUCCUUACAAGAAAAUUCUUCAGUGGAUUGAGAAUACAAGAAAUGUCAAAGUAAUAAAUUUGUGGCAUAUUGUGGGCUUUGUUCUAUAUGCAAAUCAGGAAGAAAUAGUCUCUCCUCCCUAGUAGUUGGAUAUUAGAACCAAAUUGUGCCUAAGGGAUAGUUUGUACCGUUUGGCUAAGAGUGCCGAGCAAAGACAUAAUGACUCAAUUGCAAAUGGUUGCACCAGAGAUGAUCAAGCAUGCAAAUCAAUGGUGCCACAUAAUGGUAGCAGGUGUAUGGGAUUCAUGGAUAUGGAAACUGACACAAACUCCUUGGAUCGAUCUAUAGCACACUUACUGUUUCAUAGGCCCCAUGAUCAAUCAAUGUCACAUCCUUAUGAUACUAUACCUUUCAAAUCUAGUGCCACGGUAUGCUUUCAUUAAUUCUUAACAUGUUUAAAUGAAUGAAGUAGAAUAU